UUAGGUCAACAGAACGAUAAUAAUGAUGAACCUCAUCUUACACAUUUGAAUGUGGGAUCAGCAUCAAACUAAUCCCCACAAGUUUUAUCACAAUCAUCACCUCAGUUAGAUGGUGUGAAUUCAUCUGACGCAUAUGCUUUAGAUGCAGAAGAUAAUGAGCUACCUAAUGUUGGACAAUCAAGUGUGCAUGCUGAAACUAGGAGUAACGGAAAGCUAGUAAUAGCUGUAGAGAAAGGCGAUAAACCGAAGAGAUUUACAGAUCAUACGGUAACUCGUGACAUCACGAAAGAUUUAUUAAGUAGGAUGCCUUCUCCAGCGCCAAGAUGGCAGGAUUAUUGUCCAAACAUGAAGGACGAAUUGUUUAAAGGUUUUCUGGAAAAACAUGAAUUUGCAUCGAAUUAUGAUAAGACUCUGGCAAGAACUGUUUGGAAUAAGACAAUGCAUGACCGCUAUCCUGAUAUUUUGAAAAGAGCAAGGGAUAGAGCUUUUAAGGAAGCAAACUCUACUAGUAUUGCUGAUAUUAAGGGUCAUGGACCUAAAGCAAUGAAAGUUGAUGUUUGGAAUGACUUAGUUGAUCAUUGGUUAGAUUUAAAGUGGCAAAACAAGUCUGUGGCUG